GGCUUGCGACACAUUAGUUAGUUGGCAGGGUAAAGGCCUACCAAGACUAUGAUGUGUAGCUGGACUGAGAGGUUGAACAGCCACAUUGGGACUGAGACACGGCCCAAACUCCUACGGGAGGCAGCAGUAGGGAAUUUUCGGCAAUGGAGGAAACUCUGACCGAGCAACGCCGCGUGAACGAUGAAGUACCUCGGUAUGUAAAGUUCUUUUAUUAAGGAAGAAAAAAGAGUGGAAAAACUCCCUUGACGGUACUUAAUGAAUAAGCCCCGGCUAAUUAUGUGCCAGCAGCCGCGGUAAUACAUAAGGGGCGAGCGUUAUCCGGAAUUAUUGGGCGUAAAGGGUGCGUAGGCGGUUUAAUAAGUCUAUAGUUUAAUUUCAGUGCUUAACGCUGUUGUGCUAUAGAAACUGUUUUACUAGAGUGAGAUAGAGGCAAGCGGAAUUCCAUGUGUAGCGGUAAAAUGCGUAAAUAUAUGGAGGAACACCAGAGGCGUAGGCGGCUUGCUGGGUCUUUACUGACGCUGAGGCACGAAAGCGUGGGGAGCAAACAGGAUUAGAUACCCUGGUAGUCCACGCCGUAAACGAUGAGUACUAAGUGUCGGGUAAAACCGGUACUGAAGUUAACACAUUAAGUACUCCGCCUGAGUAGUACGUACGCAAGUAUGAAACUUAAAGGAAUUGACGGGACUCCGCACAAGCGGUGGAUCAUGUUGUUUAAUUCGAAGAUACACGAAAAACCUUACCAGGUCUUGACAUUUUCUUGCGAAGUUAUAGAAAUAUAAUGGAGGUUAUCAGGAAAACAGGUGGUGCAUGGUUGUCGUCAGCCCGUGUCGUGAGAUGUUAGGUUAAGUCCUAAAACGAGCGCAACCCUUGUCGUUAAUUGCCAGCAUGUAAUGAUGGGGACUUUAACGAGACUGCCAAUGAAAAAUUGGAGGAAGGUGGGGAUUACGUCAAAUCAUCAUGCCCCUUAUGAUCUGGGCUACAAACGUGAUACAAUGGUUGAUACAAAGAGUAGCUGAAACGCGAGUUCUUAGCCAAUCUCACAAAAUCAAUCUCAGUUCGGAUUGAAGUCUGCAACUCGA
rnacentral:rRNA from 1 species